rnacentral:rRNA from 1 species
AGUCGAGGGGUAUAGGCUUUCGGGCCUAGAGACCGGCGCACGGGUGCGUAACGCGUAUGCAAUCUACCUUUCACAGAGGGAUAGCCCAGAGAAAUUUGGAUUAAUACCUCAUGGUAUAUAGGAGUGGCAUCACUUUUAUAUUAAAGUCACAACGGUGAAAGAUGAGCAUGCGUCCCAUUAGCUAGUUGGUAAGGUAACGGCUUACCAAGGCGACGAUGGGUAGGGGUCCUGAGAGGGAGAUCCCCCACACUGGUACUGAGACACGGACCAGACUCCUACGGGAGGCAGCAGUGAGGAAUAUUGGUCAAUGGGCGCAAGCCUGAACCAGCCAUGCCGCGUGCAGGAUGAAGCAUCUAUGGUGUGUAAACUGCUUUUGUACGGGAAGAAACAGAGGUUCGUGAACCUCCUUGACGGUACCGUAAGAAUAAGGAUCGGCUAACUCCGUGCCAGCAGCCGCGGUAAUACGGAGGAUCCAAGCGUUAUCCGGAAUCAUUGGGUUUAAAGGGUCCGUAGGCGGUUUAGUAAGUCAGUGGUGAAAGCCCAUCGCUCAACGGUGGAACGGCCAUUGAUACUGCUAGACUUGAAUUAUUAGGAAGUAACUAGAAUAUGUAGUGUAGCGGUGAAAUGCUUAGAUAUUACAUGGAAUACCAAUUGCGAAGGCAGGUUACUACUAAUGGAUUGACGCUGAUGGACGAAAGCGUGGGUAGCGAACAGGAUUAGAUACCCUGGUAGUCCACGCCGUAAACGAUGGAUACUAGCUGUUCGGAGCAAUCUGAGUGGCUAAGCGAAA